CUUGCUUCUCUUGAGAGCGGCGGACGGGUGAGUAAUGCCUAGGAAUCUGCCUGGUAGUGGGGGAUAACGUUCGGAAACGGACGCUAAUACCGCAUACGUCCUACGGGAGAAAGCAGGGGACCUUCGGGCCUUGCGCUAUCAGAUGAGCCUAGGUCGGAUUAGCUAGUUGGUGGGGUAAUGGCUCACCAAGGCUACGAUCCGUAACUGGUCUGAGAGGAUGAUCAGUCACACUGGAACUGAGACACGGUCCAGACUCCUACGGGAGGCAGCAGUGGGGAAUAUUGGACAAUGGGCGAAAGCCUGAUCCAGCCAUGCCGCGUGUGUGAAGAAGGUCUUCGGAUUGUAAAGCACUUUAAGUUGGGAGGAAGGGUUGUAGAUUAAUACUCUGCAAUUUUGACGUUACCGACAGAAUAAGCACCGGCUAACUCUGUGCCAGCAGCCGCGGUAAUACAGAGGGUGCAAGCGUUAAUCGGAAUUACUGGGCGUAAAGCGCGCGUAGGUGGUUUGUUAAGUUGGAUGUGAAAUCCCCGGGCUCAACCUGGGAACUGCAUUCAAAACUGACUGACUAGAGUAUGGUAGAGGGUGGUGGA
rnacentral:rRNA from 1 species